GCUUAACGCGAAGAACCUUACCCACCUUUGACAUGUACGGAAUUUGCCAGAGAUGGCUUAGUGCUCGAAAGAGAACCGUAACACAGGUGCUGCAUGGCUGUCGUCAGCUCGUGUCGUGAGAUGUUGGGUUAAAGUCCCGCAACGAGCGCAACCCUUGCCAUUAGUUGCUACGAGAGGGCACUCUAAUGGGACUGCCGGUGACAAACCGGAGGAAGGUGGGGAUGACGUCAAGUCCUCAUGGCCCUUAUAGGUGGGGCUCCACACGUCAUACAAUGGCUGGUACAAAGGGUUGCCAACCCGCGAGGGGAGCCAAUCCCAUAAAGCCAGUCGUAGUCCGGAUCGCAGUCUGCAACUCGACUGCGUGAAGUCGGAAUCGCUAGUAAUCGUGGAUCAGCAUGUCACGGUGAAUACGUUCCCGGGUCUUGUACACACCG
rnacentral:rRNA from 1 species